rnacentral:rRNA from 1 species
GUAUUCCGCUCCAUAGCGUAUAUUAAAGUUGUUGCAGUUAAAAAGCUCGUAGUUGAACUUCGGGGUUCACCCAUUGGUCAGGCUUAAUUGUCUGCACUGGUGAGAUGAGUCUCUACCUUCUGAGGAACUUUCAUGCCAUUUAUUUGGUGUGAUUGGAAAUCAGGACUGUUACUUUGAAAAAAUUAGAGUGUUUAAAGCAGGCUAACGUCUGAAUACAUUAGCAUGGAAUAAUGAAAUAGGACGGACUGAUUCUAUUUCGUUGGUUUCUAGGAUCACCGUAAUGAUUAAUAGGGAUAGUUGGGGGCAUUAGUAUUCAAUUGUCAGAGGUGAAAUUCUUGGAUUUAUUGAAGACUAACUACUGCGAAAGCAUUUGCCAAGGAUGUUUUCAUUAAUCAAGAACGAAAGUUAGGGGAUCGAAGACGAUCAGAUACCGUCGUAGUCUUAACCAUAAACUAUGCCGACUAGGGAUCGGACGAAGUUAAUUAAUAAUGACGCGUUCGGCACCUUACGGGAAACA